UACGGGGGGGGGCAAGCGUUGUUCGGAGUUACUGGGCGUAAAGCGUGCGUAGGCGGUGUCUUAAGUUUGUUGUGAAAUCUCCCGGCUUAACCGGGAGGGUGCGGCGAAUACUGAGAUGCUGGAGUGCCGGAGAGGUAAGCGGAAUUCCUGGUGUAGCGGUGAAAUGCGUAGAUAUCAGGAGGAACACCUGCGGUGUAGACGGCUUACUGGACGGUAACUGACGCUGAGGCACGAAAGCGUGGGUAGCAAACAGG
rnacentral:rRNA from 1 species